AUCAAAACGCAUUACCCUUGUUUGCAAUUCGGAAAAGGAAAGGCGAUCGGUGCUGAUACAAAAACUCAAUAUCAUAAUAAUAAACAAGAUGGAUUUCUUCAGAGAUGCAUUCCGUCAAUACUCUCACCACCGUGCUCUGUGGCCUCUCAUAGGAUCAUGCAUGCUUGCAUCUUCAUUCACAACUUACAUCUUGAUUCGUUCAAGCAAGAAACAAGAAGUUGAAUGGAACAGAUACGCUGAUCGGUCAAACAAGGAAGCCAUAAUAGAAGACGCAAUAACACGUCCAAUGCAAAGAUUUCAGGCCAUUUCUGUCAACACUAAGGCCUAUCAAACUCGACCACCUACUGUCCCACUUCUCCAGGUCAUUUAUGAAGAUGGAGAAUACAAUUACCCAAAGAACAGAGAGCAAUCAUCAUAAGGCGUAUAAAACAACGACGUACGAUCAUCAGAAGAUGCGGAAUUAAUUAUAAUUUAACAAAUUCAUGGACAUUUUAAAUUACCUGACUACUUGGUUCGCCGAUAAUAUUGCAAUAUAUGCAUUUUAUCAAAAUUAUUUCAAUUGUUUGAAUAAUCGAGUAAAACACUUAUUCACUGAUUGUUUUGCUCAAAAAAACUGAUAAAAUUGGUUUAUAUUUUAAUCAGUCUUUCUUUACACGUUUCUUUAUUAGGCUGCUUUUAUAAUAUGAUAAAUAAAUUAUUGUAUGAAUAAAAUACAUCAAUGAAAGCCCA